CCUACGGGGGGCAGCAGUAGGGAAUUUUUCACAAUGGGCGAAAGCCUGAUGGAGCAACGCCGCGUGCAGGAUGAAGGCCUUCGGGUUGUAAACUGCUUUUAUAAGCGAGAAAUAUGAUGGUAACUUAUGAAUAAGGCUCGGCUAACUACGUGCAGGCAGCCGCGGUCAUAAGUAGGAUCCGAGAAUUAUCCGGAGUGACUGGGUGUAAGGAGUUGCGUAGGUGGGAUAAUAAUUAGCUAGUGAAAUCUGGUGGCUCAACCAUUCAGACUAUUAGCUAAACUGUUAAGCGCGAGACCGUUAGGGGUAACUGGAAUUUCUAGUGUAGGAGUGAAAUCCGUAGAUAUAAGAAGGAACACCAAUAGCGUAGGCAGGUUGCUGGGACGGUUCUGACACUAAGGCACGAAAGCGUAGGGAGCAAACGGGAUUAGAUACCCCAGUAGUC
rnacentral:rRNA from 1 species